ACGUAUUUGUUCUUCCGUAGGAGUGAUUGUUUGCAUCAGACACCAUCCCACGCCAGUGAAACCAGCUAUCCAAACAACACCUGUUAUAAUUUUCGACAUUCUUGGAAGGACGCUAAAGGUUCUCCGGAUCCAUUAGGGAGGUAAUCCUCCCACUGGGACAAGAAACACUACUCUCAUGGCGCAAGAUCUUGGUCUCAUGUCAAUAAGAAAAUUGGUAAGAGUUCAAGAGUAGUCAUCAUUCAUGUCCAGUGAAAAUCCCAGUACACAGACAUUAAAAGGUCAUAUUGUGGAAUUUAUCACUCAAGGAAUGUCCAAAACACAUGUUGAAAAGGAACAGCAGUGUAUCUGCCACUGGUUUCAAGGCUGGAGUUUUUACCAGAAACAAGAUUUCCUGCAGUUUCUCUUGGAUCAAGCUAUUCCACAGAACGUGGAGACCUUAUUUGAUGCCAUGGGAGCCAUGA